UUGUUUUGGUGGUGAAGGAAGUAUCCACGUCACGUCACUCAGCAUCAACCAAUUGUUUCUUUCUUUCUUUCUUCCAAACUUGUCAUUACGAUACAUGCAUCCAAGAAAAACAGUGAAAUUUUCAGAAUACGAAGAAACAAUGAGAAGAAGAAUCUGGAGUCUUCUCUCCAACAAAAACAAACUCACAUUUCCAAUCCCAAUCUCCAAUUCCCGCGUAAUUCCGUUUCUUUCUUACUGCACCGAUCCAUCACGUAUUCUCAACCAUAACCAUCCAGGACCGCUUGUGCAGUACAAAAAUCUUGUUGAUCAAGGGAAGUUGCAGCACGAUCCUUACCAAGAAAGUGUUGCUACAGAGCUUCAGAAUUUGUUAUCAAGGUUGGAGAAUUAUGAGAGAGAAAUGGAAGAGUAUCAUGUUAAUCUAUCAAACUGGGAGAAGAAAAGGGAGAAUGAGCGCCGAAGGAUUCUUAUGGACGAAGUUGAGAAGCAGCAGAAUGACAAGGAUUGGUGGAAACGCUUGAAUAAUAAAAUCACUGAAAGAUGGACAAACUCUAGGAAAAGACCAGAGAAUGUGGAUCCAGGGGUAGGAAAAUGGGUUUCUUAUCUUAAACGUGAGAAGAAGCUCGAUUCACUGGUUGGUCGCCGUCCAACUGCUCCUCCAGCUCCCAAAGGACUUUACAUAUAUGGCAAUGUGGGCAGUGGGAAAACAAUGCUGAUGGACAUGUUUUACAGUGCUACUGAAGGAAUAGUUAAACAUCGAAGAAGGUAUCACUUUCAUGAGGCCAUGCUUAGAAUAAAUGAGCAUAUGCACAAGACAUGGAAGAAACAAAUGGAAGAGAAGCCUUUGCAGUCAGGCAUAUCAAGUUGGAUUAUGAAUCUUCCAUUCGACACUAAAGCUAAGGAGUGGUUAGCUGCAGAAGAAAGAUACAAAAAGGAGGUGCAGAUGAAACACAUUCUUCCAGAUGUAGCAGAUAAGUUUUUUCUGGAUCGAGAAGGAGAGGAAAAGGGAGCUAACAUUUUGUGCUUUGAUGAGAUACAGACCGUUGAUGUAUUUGCUAUUGUGGCUUUAUCUGGAAUUCUAAGCAGAUUGCUGAGUAGUGGAACUAUUAUUGUGGCUACAAGUAAUCGAGCACCAAAGGACUUGAAUGAGGCUAAUAUGGUACCAGAAUUCUUCCAAAACCUUCUUUCUAAUUUAGAAGAACAUUGUGAGAAGGUGUUGGUAGGCAGUGAAAUUGACUACCGUCGUUUUAUAGCACAAAGAUCAGAAAACCGGGUAAACUAUUUAUGGCCUAUUGAAAGGGAAACCAUCAAUAAAUUUGAGAAAAAGUGGCAGGAUGCAACAGGCAGAUUUGGAGGAAAAGUAAUCUCCAACACCAUCUCAGUGAUGUUCGGAAGGACUCUUGAGGUUCCUGAAAGCUGCGAGGGAGUUGCCCGCUUUACAUUUGACUAUCUAUGUGGUCGUCCGUUGGGUGCAGCAGAUUAUAUUGCAGUUGCUGAAAACUAUCACACCGUUUUCAUAUCUGAUAUUCCAAUGAUGAGCAUGCGCAUUCGUGACAAGGCACGGAGAUUUAUCACUCUUAUUGACGAAUUAUACAAUCAUCAUUCUUGUCUAUGUUGCUUGGCAUCCUCUUCAAUUGAUGAAUUAUUUCAAGGAACUGAGGAGGGCACACUUUUUGACUUGGAGAGUUUCCAGUUUGAAACAGAGGCUGAAGGCAGCAAACUUCGCCGCGAUGUCUUAGCAGAAGGCAACGUGGGCUCAGGAGGUACCCCUGUUGGCAUCACAUCCAUACUAUCUGGUCAGGAAGAGCUGUUUACUUUUCAGAGAGCUGUGUCGCGCCUGAUUGAAAUGCAAACUCAAUUAUACUUGGAUGGAGUCAGUAAUGUCCACCCUUAUUUUCAGACGCAACAUAAAAAAUUUCAAAAAAAUCGCGACAACUUAUUGUCUGAGUCAUCAUCAGUUUGAAAAUAUGGCCGACCAUGACCCCAUUGAUCCAUCUAAAAUGAUUGGUGGUAGGCGAGCGAUGACCCAGAGCCACCGGAGGGAGAGGUAGAGCGCCCACAUCCCAAAGAGGGGUAGAGGUCGGAGGGGAGAUGAUUCAGGGAGUUCUCAGGCUACACAGCCUGAGGAGUCACAGGUUGUGGACCCGUCUGGGGUGGAGUACCUGAACUAUCAGGAUCAGGUACACCACGAUACGACUGAUAGGAUCAUAUACCACAAGCAGCAUGUAGGAGACGACGGUGACAUUGCAGCAGCUGCUGCCCCGGAUGUGUUACUUGAGGACCCUCCCUUUGCUGGAGAACCGACAGACUUAUCUUUGCUGCACUCUUAUGCCGGUCAUGUGGCGUUGCCACUUUGGUAUAAUUCAGAUAACGUUCGUAAGUUGCGUGUGGUCAAACCUAUUAAUCAUGGGCCUAAGAUCCUGAGUCUCGGACGCCCAAACGGGAAUCAGGAUUGGUUUUGGGAUCCGCUUAGGCAGAGCAGGUUACAUGACUUGGUGUACCUGGGCUACGCCACUGUGCCCCAUGCCCUACUGAUGACUCAGUGUGAGAGGGAAAAAGGUGAGGAAUGUAGCAGGGAACUGUCAUAUUCCUUUUGAUGUGCUUGAUAUCAUUUCCAAAACACUAGAUUUUGACGAUCUCUUUCGGUUUGCCGGUGUGUGCAAGCAUUGGAGGGUUUUUUAUUGGAGAAAUUUACUGGCAUCGCAAGAACCGUUACUUCUUCAAGUUUCGUAUAAUCAUAAGGAAUCAUAUUCCUUUGUUAGCUUGUUUGACCAAAAGAUUUAUUGCUUGAAGAUGAUAGAGUGCUUCCUCCGCUCUAUCUAUGUUACGUCUUCUGGUGGAUAUUUUAUCAUGGUGGGGUAUAAUAAUUCAUUUUUACUAAGCAAUCCUUUUACAAGAAUAAAGAAGAUAAUCAAUGUCUCUACCUUUGAAGUUAAGUCUAAUAUUUUUGCUAAUCAUGUCUUACUUGCUUUUGGCAAAUGCUCGGAUGAAUUUGUCUUGGUGGUUUUAUGUAAAAGUUCUAGGAGUUUGUGUGUCUAUCAAUCUCAAAAUUGUGAUUGGGUUACUUAUUCGACAAUGGGAAAUCCAGGGAGGGUUGUUGACUUUAUGGUUUCGCAUAAUAUAAUAUAUGUUGUUACUGACAAGGCCAACAUAGGGGGUACUCAGCUUGAAUUCUGCAGAUAUUAAAUUUCUAAAACUGAAGAGUGUUCCCAACGUAACAACUUCCUGAUACCUUAGAUUAAUUAACUGUGAUGAGCAACUUUUAGUGGUUGAUUCAUCGUUGAAGGAGAUAAGGAAUGUAUACAAGAUAGGCUUCUCAACCAUGAAUUAUGUCAAACUGGAAACUUUGGGCAACAUUUCAUUAUUUUAUGCUGAUAACAGAAACUGUUAUGAACUAAAAUAGGUGGGGAUAUGAAAGAAACUAUGUGUACACAAUGUAAUGUGUAUUCAGGGGAUGAUAAAAAAUUGCAAAAAUGUAGUACGCUUCCAGCUCCUCCGUAUGGAACAGAUUCUCACAUGUUGGAUUGGUGUUUUAGACAUCUACAAUAUGAGGUAGAUUAUUCUUCAGUUGAGUAACUGUAUGAUGUACACUGUGUUACUUGUGGUCUUUGUGUAGGAAAAACUUGUAAUGUUUUGUAGUUUCAAUAUUAGGAAAGUAUUGAGAUUGAAGAAAGAAUUGAAUUCAGAUGUGUAUCAGAAUUGAAUGUGUUGACUGUGGAAAUAAGUAUCAGAAAAUGCACUGUGUAAAACUUUGAAGCUAUUAGCAGUAGAGGUGGCUCUGGUCCAGGAAGUUAUCAACCGUUCCAAUUAGAAAUGGAAAGUGAAGCCAUUCUUCUAAUCAUUCUAGGGAAGAAAGAAACUCUGCCUCUGGGAUUGAGUUUGGAUUAGGAUAUUCAAUUCUAUUUUGCUCAUAUGUGAGCUCAUGUGUUAUAAGCUAUAUGCUAUUAGUUAACAGUUUUACCUAGCGAAAUAAAGGCUAUGUAGCAAGAAAAAAGAAGUUGAAAGGAUAAAAAUGGAUGCAUGUUUGUCUUUUUUAUAUUUUAUUGAAAGGUUAUUAACUUGCUGUUAACAAUCAUGGUUUUAUAUGCUUCGUAGUUUACUGAACUUCAACUUUCUCUCGAGUCUGAAAACCUCAUCUCAGAGCUUGUCAAAUUCCUUGAUUCUUCAUCGGUUGCUGCUCUCUCUGAUCCAUACAAUGAACAUAAAGAAGUCAGUGCAGUUGAAGCUCUGUCUGAGAUUCACCGAUAUAUUUCUCCGUCUCUUGACCAG